rnacentral:rRNA from 1 species
GCAGAGAGUUCGAUCUGGCUCGGAUUGAACGCUGGCGGGAUGCUUUACAUGCAAGUCGAACGGCACGGACUCGGUCUGGUGGCGAGUGGCGAACGGGUGAGUGUGUAUCGGAACGUGCCUAGUGGCAGGGAUAUUACGCGAAAACACUUCAGCCACGCAUACGCCCUUCGGGGAAAGCGGGGGACCUUCCGGGCCUCGCACUAUUAGAGCGUGAUAUGGAUUAGCUAGUUGGUGGGGUAACGGCUCGCAAGGCGACGAUCCGUAGCUGGUUUGAGAGGACGACCAGCCACACUGGGACUGAGACCUGGCCCCAGACUCUACGGAAGGCAGCAGUGAAAUUUUUGGUUCAAUGGGGAAACACGAUCCAGCCAUCCCGCACGUGCGAUGAAGGCCUUUAGCCUUCCGGGUUGUAAAAACACCUUUUGGCAGGAAAGAAACGGCGCAGGAUAAUACCCGAUGCAACUGACCAGUACCUGCAGAAUGCUUCCAGCUAACUACGCGCCAGCAGCCGCGGUAAUACGUAGGGUGCAAGCGUUAAUCGAGAAUUACUGGGCGUAAAGCGUGCGCGAGCCGGUUCGGAAGAAAGAUGUGAAAUCCCAGGCUUAACUUUGGAACUGCAUUUUUAACUACCGAGCUGAGAGUGUGUCAGAGGAGGUGGAAUUCCGCGUGUAGCAGUGAAAUGCGUAGAUAUGCGGAGGAACACCGAUGGCGAAGGCAGCCUCCUGGGAUAACACUGACGCUCAUGCACGAAAGCGUGGGAGCAAACAGGAUUAGAUACCCUGGUAGUCCACGCCCUAAACGAUGUCAACUAGCUGUUGGGGCCUUCGGGCUUGGUAGCGCAGCUAACGUGAAGUUGACCGCCUGGGGAGGUACGGUCGCAAGAUUAAAACUCAAGGAAUUGACGGGGACCCGCACAAGCGGUGGAUGAUGUGGACAUGGAUUAAUUCGAUGCAACGCGAAAACCUUACCUACCCUUGACAUGUCUGGAAUCCCGAGAUUUGGGAGUGCUCGCAAAGAGAACCGGAACACAGUGCACAUGGCUGUCGUCCCAGCUCGUGUCGUGAGAUGUUGGGUUAAGUCCCGCAACGAGCGCAACCCUUGUCAUUAGUUGCUACGAAAGGGCACUCGUAGGACUGUCGGUGACAAACCGGAGGAAGGUGGGGAUGACGUCAAGUCCUCAUGGCCCUUAUGGGUGAGGGCUUCACACGUCAUACAAUGGUCGGGACAGAGGGUCGCCAACCCGCGAGAGGCCAAUCCCAGAAACCCGAUCGUAGUCCGGAUCGCAGUCUGCAACUCGACUGCGUGAAGUCGGAAUCGCUAGUAAUCGCGGAUCAGCAUGUCGCGGUGAAUACGUUCCCGGGUCUUGUACACCGCCGUCACACCGUAGAAUUGGGUUUUACCAGAAGUAGUUAGCCUAACCGUAAGGAGGGCGAUUACCACGGUAGGAUUCAUGACUGGGGUGAAGUCGUAACAAGGUAG